rnacentral:rRNA from 1 species
UACGAAGGGGGCUAGCGUUGCUCGGAAUCACUGGGCGUAAAGCGCACGUAGGCGGAUUCUUAAGUCAGGGGUGAAAUCCCGGAGCUCAACUCCGGAACUGCCUUUGAUACUGAGAGUCUCGAGUUCGGGAGAGGUGAGUGGAACUGCGAGUGUAGAGGUGAAAUUCGUAGAUAUUCGGAGGAACACCAGUGGUGAAGGCGGCUCACUGGUCCGGUACUGACGCUGAGGUGCGAAAGCGUGGGGAGCAAACAGG